rnacentral:rRNA from 1 species
AACGGGUGAGUAACGCGUAGGUAACCUGCCUGGUAGCGGGGGAUAACUAUUGGAAACGAUAGCUGAUACCGCAUAAUAGUAGAUGUUGCAUGACAUUUGUCUUAAAAGGUUAGCAAUUGCAUCACUACCACGAUGGACCUGCGUUGUAUUAGCUAGUUGGUGAGGUAACGGCUCACCAAGGCAACGAUACAUAGCCGACCUGAGAGGGUGAUCGGCCACACUGGGACUGAGACACGGCCCAGACUCCUACGGGAGGCAGCAGUAGGGAAUCUUCGGCAAUGGACGGAAGUCUGACCGAGCAACGCCGCGUGAGUGAAGAAGGUUUUCGGAUCGUAAAGCUCUGUUGUAAGAGAAGAACGAGUGUGAGAGUGGAAAGUUCACACUGUGACGGUAUCUUACCAGAAGGACCGGCUAACUACGUGCCAGCAGCCGCGGUAAUACGUAGGUCCCGAGCGUUGUC